rnacentral:rRNA from 1 species
GACGAACGCUGGCGGCGUGCCUAAUACAUGCAAGUCGAGCGGAAUGAUGAAGAAGCUUGCUUCUUCUGAUUUUAGCGGCGGACGGGUGAGUAACACGUGGGCAACCUACCUUGUAGAUUGGGAUAACUCCGGGAAACCGGGGCUAAUACCGAAUAAUCCAUUUUGCUUCAUGGCGAGAUGUUGAAAGACGGUUUCGGCUGUCACUACAAGAUGGGCCCGCGGCGCAUUAGCUAGUUGGUAGGGUAGUGGCCUACCAAGGCGACGAUGCGUAGCCGACCUGAGAGGGUGAUCGGCCACACUGGGACUGAGACACGGCCCAGACUCCUACGGGAGGCAGCAGUAGGGAAUCUUCCGCAAUGGACGAAAGUCUGACGGAGCAACGCCGCGUGAGUGAAGAAGGUUUUCGGAUCGUAAAACUCUGUUGUUAGGGAAGAACACGUACGAGAGUAACUGCUCGUACCUUGACGGUACCUAACCAGAAAGCCACGGCUAACUACGUG